AUUGAACGCUGGCGGCAGGCCUAACACAUGCAAGUCGAACGCGUCGCGGACGGGUGAGUAAUGUCUGGGAAACUGCGUGGUGGAGGGGGAUAUCUACUGGAAACUGUCGCUAAUACCGUAUACCAUCAGAUGUUCCCAGAUGGGAUUAGCUAGUUGGUGGGGUAACGGCUCACCAAGGCGACGAUCCCUAGCUGGUCUGAGAGGAUGACCAGCCACACUGGAACUGAGACACGGUCCAGACUCCUACGGGAGGCAGCAGUGGGGAAUAUUGCACAAUGGGCGCAAGCCUGAUGCAGCCAUGCCGCGUGUAUGAAGAAGGCCUUCGGGUUGUAAAGUACUUUCAGCGGGGAGGCGUUACCCGCAGAAGAAGCACCGGCUAACUCCGUGCCAGCCGCCGCGGUAAUUC
rnacentral:rRNA from 1 species